UCCUAGCCCAGAUAGAAACGGCAUCCUUUUGUGAAGCGGAGCGGAACAAAAAAUAUAGUGGAUAGCUGGAAAUAGC
rnacentral:sRNA from 1 species